UCUCGGCAAAUUAUCCUCAUAAGUUUGACAAUAAGAGAAACCAUAAAAAAUUUAAAUUAGCCAUAAUUUAAUUAAUAAUAUGGAAUAAUAAAAUCGGAGGCCACGACUGUUUACUAAAAACACAAUUCAGAGCAAUGAUUAAGAUAAUAGUAUUCUGGAUGAAAUUUGCUCAAUGCCAUUAAUAUAAGAGAGGUAAUUUUAAAGUUACUAAUCGAAAAUCUGGUUAAUAGCGGUCUUAACUAUGAGGAUCCUAAGGUAGCAAAAUAAAUUGGCCAUUAAAUGUGGUCUUGUAUCAAUAAUGUAACGAUGGUCUCACUGUCUCUACAACUUGCUCAGUGAAAUUGAAUUGCGAGUGCAGAUGCUCGCUGUCUUCAGAGGGACGGGAAGACCCUAUGCAGCUUCUACUGA
rnacentral:rRNA from 2 species